rnacentral:ncRNA from 1 species
UCGGUCUGCGGUUCACGUGCGCGGCUCGCGCGCACGACCCGGAGGCC